rnacentral:lncRNA from 1 species
ACUAGUGUCCCAAAAAACAAUCUUAUCUGAAUUAGAAUUCAGGGUUCUUUUAUACUGAAAGGGAAAGGGGUAUGGUUGGUUGUUGCAAACUUCUUGGUGUUGUAAUCCUUUGUUCUUGCAGCUGUCCUGUAAGGUCAGAUCAUGUUUACUAUGUUCCUGUAAACCUCCAAUAAGACAAGUGUUAUUCUCUGUUCUGAAACUUUUUAAUCUCUGUAUGAAUGAAAAACUGUUAUAUCCUUCAAGGCCAGAGCCUGGAGAAUGGGCUAUCCUGUAUAUUUCAGGCUAUAGGCAACUAAAUUAAGAAUACUUGUAGCAAAAGCAGUAGAAUACAAAGUUUAAAGUAAAAACAACAACAACAACAACAGAUCCAAUAGGGAGUCAGAUUUGUUCUUCCUUGUUACAUUCAAACAGACUAUACAAUUUAGUGGAAAGGUUGCUAUAUUGUCAUUGCUUAUUAGUAAUACUACUGAUUAGUAGACAUAAUGUAACUGUUUAUUCAAGAGCUGUGUUAAAUACACAAAAGCCAUGACUACAUGCAUCCAAAUUUUAAGUUCUCUACACCCUUAGACCACCGUGUCUCACAUCGCUUACUCAGGCAGGAGUACUCUAAGGAAUUGUGCUAAGGGUUAACUGAAGCAAAUCCUGUAUUACUAUCAAGAUCCAUGAUAAAAUCAGGCUGUUCUCUGAGAGGAAUAAUUGUAUCCUUGGAACAUAAUAAAAUAGAAGUGGAUAAUACAAUAAAUAUUAACGAUUUGAAAUUUCUGGCAUUUGGACAAAAUAAGAAUACUAAACACCCUGCUUUGUGUUAUUACAUACUGAUAGUGAAAGUAGGGUCAUUUUUUCAAUAAAAUGUGAUAAAAUAGGCAUCAACUGGGGGAGAGAGAGUAUUAAGUUUUGUAACAAUCCUUAGCAAUACGUGUGGGGGGAUCAAUUUGGCUAAUUUUCUCAAAUUGUACAUAAAAAAAAAAAAUCCUAGACAGGUAAGUGUUUAAAAGUAGAGAAAACCAAAUGUAAAAAUCAGAAAACAAACCAGUGAUAUCUUUGCAAAACAAAGAUAUAAUAGACAACAGUUUAAUAACAUUUACUCAAAAAAAAAUUCAAACGCACACACAAAAAUGAAUAAAAUAUUGUCCUAUACUCUCAUUUCCUGCUGGUAAUUGGUGUGGCAUUUCUGGAAGCCAAUCUGAUAGCAUGUGUCAAAUGCGUUAUAAAUGUGAUUACUGUUCAUUCCAGCCAUUCACCCUCUGGGGGUUCAUCCAAAAGUAAAUAGACAGGUCUGCAAAAAUGUACAAGUAAUAACAUAAGAAUGUUCAUCACAACAUGGUUUUUAACAGCUAAAAUCAUUUAAAAAACCCAAAUGUCCAUCAAUAGGCUAACCCAACAAUUCUACCCUAGGGAGUUUUAAAGAAUCAUGCCUUUAUUUUUUACAUGAGAAGCUAUGAUGUAAGUGAAACAAAUCAGAGGAAAAACAACAUGUUUGCACUGUAAUGCUAAUAUACUUAAUGCCCCUAAGUUUUACACUCAAAAAUGGCUAAAAUGGUUGUUUUUAUGGUAUGUAUAUUUUGCCACAAUGAAGAAUGGUUUGAUUAAAUAUAAUUUUCAUAAACUUUAUGAAAAUAUCAUUGAAACAUUAAUAAAUUAUUAUUAUUAAGAAAAAUAUUUACUUUCUGAGUGGUGCAGCUAUGAUUGAUUUUUUAUUUAUUUAUCUUUUUUAUGAAAAUCUGAAUUUUUAUGUAGUGCAGCUAUAACUUUUAUUAUCUUAUUUAUUAUUGGCAAAGAUAAUAAAGCUACUUCCAUUUUGAAAAUAAACUUGUCCAGCACAUACUGAAAACAAGAAGAAAAAAAUUAUAGGUAAUUCGUAAUAAAAGAAAAAAGAAAUUAUAAGCAAAUAAAUCUGCAAAACAAAGAACUUUUAUGGAAAGUCAAAUCACCAGAGAAAUAUAAUUAACAAAAGAAGGAUGAAAGUUAGGUACACUUUAUUUCAGAUAAAAUAGAAAGGUAUAAGUACACCGCAUGCAAUAUUUUUUAAUCUGACAAUUAGAAAUAACUCAAGGAGUUCCUGCUGUUGCACAAUGAGUUAAGAAUCCUACUGCAGAAGCUCAAGUCACUGUGGAGGUUCUGGUUCCAUCUCCAGCCAGGUGCCGUGGGUGGAUGUGUGCAUUAUGUAUAAUUGAAUCAAUUUGCUGUACAGCAGAAAUUAUCACAACAUUGUAAAUCAACUCUACUUCAAUAAAACUUGUAAAAUUUUUUAAAAUAACAUUAUGGAUUUUUAGUAUUGUCAGAUUAUUGGGUGUGAACUGAAUUUUCCCAGACAGUAGGCUUUGCUUUGUCUCUAGGCUGAAAGCUAAAGUUUGCUUUUCUAGGCUCAUGAAUCCAAAAGCUAGGUGAGAUAAGAGUCAGAGGGAGCCAGGAGAAGCCACACUGCCCUGAACUCUACACCUGUCUAGGAGUAAAGAAACAGGGUAGCUUCAGUGGCUUUUUUCUCAACACUAUCUCAACACCAUCCUCAGAGACUCACAUGCUACUUUUGCCUCUUCCUUUGCGGACUCCAAACAUCUCAGUAUCUUCGUUGCAACGAUCCACCAACUCAGCCCUACAAUCCUUGAUCUCAGACAACGUGGCUGUGUAUAAGAAUGAGGAACCACUGGGUGCUCUAAUUCUGUUGAGUUCAGUGGUCUGACUAGGGAUCCAAGGUGAGCCCAAGUUCACUGAACACUCAGCACAAGGGGUAAGGCUCUUGCCCUGGUCCGGUCUGGGGAGGGCUUCUGGAGGAAACCUGCCAUGUCUCCUCUAAGUGCAUGAACAUCACAAGUAGACAUCUCAGUCCUGAUGAACAAACUCAUUACACUGAGCACAUGAUCUAUUACAUUGUGAACAGACAUGGCUGGGAGGAGGCAUCAGGAUGGGAUACCCCAAAGGGAAAUGCUGCAUCUGACACUAUCUGUAUAGACAUUGCCUUUGUCUCUUUUUUCCCCCUUAGGGCUGCGCACAUGCGACACAUGGAAGUUCCCAGGCUAAGGUUUGACUCAGAGCUGCAGCUGCCAGCCUGCACCACAGCCACAGCAACACCAGAUCCAAGCCUUGACUGCGACCUACACCACAGCUCACGGCAACGCUGGAUCCUUAACCCACUGAGAGAAGCCAGGGAUGAAAGCCACAUUCUCAUGGAUUCUAGUUGGGUUUGUAACCUACUGAGCCACAAUGGGAACUCUGUCUUUGUCUUUAAAGAUGAACCCAUUCACCCCCUCUGCUAAGACGGCAUCCACAUGCUCCACACUGACUCCAUCAGAUGUAAAGCCAUGGGCCUGGGACAGGCUGUGUGGGGGCAGGAAGGGAACAGGGAAGAGCCAUGAUUAUGUCUGAUAUGGACAUUCCUCUUCUUUCCCCAAUUCUGCUGCUUCUCUGUUCUCAUUCCUUUCUCCCCUUUUCAGUCAUCAUACCACCCAGCUUGUUCUCACUCUUGGUCUCAUCUUCCCCCAGGUGGAUGAAUGCCCCAGACACAAUUCUUUUCUGAGGCUCUGCCCCAGGGACCACCAGAGCAAUACCCUCACUACACACCCUCACUCAAGACACACCCAGCUGUGUCCACUGGACAAUAGCUAUGUUUUCUAGAACAGACAAAGGUAACUUUUCAGAAAAAUGUUCCUGUUCCAGAGCCCUUCAGAAGCUGGGUGGCAUUGUCAUGGGUGGGAGGUGGGGCGGGCCAGCCCAGGACAGGAGGGAAUUUUCACAUCCCUGGCUUGAAAUCCAGUUCUCAUUCUGUUACUCAAGAGUGACCUGAGUGCUACCUGGAGGUAUGGGAAGAUUUCAUAACUCUCCAUUCUUCCAUCCCCACCACAGCCCCUGGCAACCACUCUUUUACUUUCCACUCCUAUGAGUUUGACUAAUCUAGAUAACUAAUAUAAGGGGAAUCAUAGAAUAUUUGUCCUUGCGACUUGUCACUUAGCAUAAUGUCUUCAAGCUUGAUCCAUGCUGUAGCAGGUGUCACAAUUCCCUUCCUUUUUAGGGCUGAGUAAUAUUCCGUUGUAUGGUUUACUACAUUUUGUCUAUUCAUCCAUUAAUGGACAUUUGGUUGUUUCCACUUUUUGACUAUUGUGAAUAAUGCUGUUUUGAAUGUUGAUAUACAAAUAUCUGAGUCCCUGUUUCAGUUCUUUGGGGUAUGUACCCAGGAGUAGAAUUGCUAGAUCAUUCUAUGCUUAUUCUAUGUAAUUCUAGGCUUUUUUUGAGGAAAUGCCAAACUAUUUUCCACAGCAGUUGCACCGUUUUAUAUUCUUACCAGCAAUGCCCAAGUGUUCCAAUUUCUCCACAUUCUCAUCAACACUUGCUAUUUUCUGAAUUUUUUUUUUUAAAUAAUAGACACCUAGUGGUUGUGAAAUGAUAUUUCAAUUGUGAUUUUGUCCUUCGCAGUGAUUAGGAAUGUUGAGCAUAUGUGUGCUUAUUGGAUAUCUAUUUAUCUUCUUUGGAGAAAUAUUUAUUCAAGACUGCUCUUUUUUUUUAAUAAGGCUGCACCUUAUCAAAGUUCCCAGCAUAUAGGAGUUCCCAUGUUAGGAAGUUCCCAGGCUAGGGGUUGAAUUGGAGCUGCAACUGCCAGCCUAUGCCACAGCCACAGCAACCAGAUCUGAGGCUAGAUCCACGUUGUGUCUAUGACAGGCAUCACAGCUCUUGACAAUGCUAGAUCCUUAAUCCAUUGAGAUGAGCCAGGAAUUCAUCAAACCUCAUGGAUACUAGUGACAUUUGUUACCACAGAGCCACAAUGG